AUUUUGGACUUUGAAGAUACUAUGUUGAUGGCUUGCAGGAAAGUAAAGAAAAUCUUAUUGAAAACUGAAAUAAAGGGGAUACUUGUUACAUAGUAGCAGAAAACUUAGCAACACUCACCUGCAGCCAAGCAGAAAGUAGAAAAUAUCCCUAAUGAACUGCGUAAUCUAGCUUCUGAAAAUGUUCCCAAGCAAAGUGUUGAAGAUGCUGCCAGGUUUCUUCUUGCCACAUACUGCAAAUAUGAGAGGAGAGAGAGAAACGGAGGAAAGGGCUGCAAACAAAAGACAGAAAGGACUUGAUGGCUUGGAGACUCCUCAGCCUCCAUACGUGGCAAACGAAGCUAAAAUUUAGAAAUGACUUCUGAGCAAAGAUCAAACCCAGGACAUUUCUAGGAAAACAUGGCCUAAAGAUAAGGCCAGGGGUGUGAAUAAGUCUUGAGAUGAUUGCAGCCCCAACCACAGCUUGACUACAACUUCGUGGGACCCCUUGAUCCAGCAGCAUCCAGCAUGUGGCUCCCAGAUUCCUGACCCACAGAAGCUGUGAGAUAAGAAGUGCUGUCUUCAGAUGCAAAGUGCUAAGUGUGGGGGUAAUUUGCUACACAGCAAUGGGUCACUAAAACAUUGAGCUUCUGGAUAGGAUGUCGUUUAGAGGAAAAAAUGUUGUCUGAUAAACAAAACUAAAUAGCAUCUUUUUAAAAAGGCUGAGGCCAUAAGCAACAAGAGUUCAUCUUCUUCCCACCAACGUGUUUUAAAUACACUGACUUUCCUUAGGUAGUGGCCACAGAGGACAGAGACGUGUGGUGAGAUGGAUGGUUGCUGCCAGCUGGACUCACAAGUCUUUCCUCCUGAGGGGAUUAAGUGGUGUGUUUUCCUGGCCAGGGGAAAGAAGAGAGGCGGGUCUCCCCUCCUUCCUGGCUCCUCACAUAUUCUCUUCUAGAACAAGACUCAUACCCAGUGAACCAGCGUGGGCCAAGUUCUUUAAAUGGGGAUUUAGCAGCUGAAAAGUCAAAGAAAAGCCCCUCUCACCAGCCUUCUCUUCACACCACCCUAAGGACUUGAUCCUGGGCACACUGACUUGUGCAUACCUUUAAAGAACCUCACAAAGAUGUGUAGGAAGAGAAUAUGGGAAGGAUCCAGAGCACGUGAUGAUUCCUGCUUUGGAAAAACCUUGAGAGGUGAUCUCACCCAACUUAUUCUACCACGCCUCCCCCAGCACCUAAACUGUCCACAGAUCUCCCUUCAUGCUAAGCUGGAUCCAGUUCCACUUCUGUCACUUGGACUCAAACAGCUCUGAUUGAUACUGCAAGCCCGUGCCCUUCCUCCACCUUCCCCUACAGCCCUGGCCGACCACGGUGGAAAGUAGCCCAUGUGCCCCUGAGAAUCAGGCAGGCCAAGCUCCCCAAGAAAAGACAAAACAACUUGGGAGAAACCAAAUGUUCCAUACAUCCCUGAGGACGCCACUGGGGCUUUCAGAUACAGCCGAGGACAGUCACCACAUGGCACAGGGUGGUGGCAGAUACACGGGACUCCUCAAGGCUGAGAUAACCCAGUCCCAAACAUGCCUGGUCGCUCAUCCAGGAGGAUGCUACCAUGCCUCCUUUGUCCUCUCCCUUCUUCAGCCUGGGCCCUCAGAGGUGACAGCAUUCACUCUACAGUUUGGGAGACCGGCACACACACCAAAAGUGAUAGCAGCUGGGCCGGCCUCUGAGCUGUUCUCCAGGCCUGGGAGGGACCAAAAUUCCCUCAUCCUGAUGUCAGGGCCACUCUGUGUUCCUACUGGCAGCAGACGGGCAAAGCAGGGACUGAAUGUGUAGAACUGACAGAUAUAGUCAGGGAAAGGCUGGUAGGAAAACGCUGGAGGUUCAUGGGAGGCAGGGAGCACAGGGUGGAAGGAACUAGAAGGCUUUCUCCCUAUUCCUCACCUACCCCAGAUUUCUAGAGAGCAGAUUUUAAUACCACAGUGGAUUCCAAUCCUGGUUCCGUGACGUCACCUUUCCGAGUCUAGGAUUCCUUACCUAUAAAUGAGGAUGCCGGUUCCUCCCUUGCUGGGUUGUUACAAGCACUAAAUUAGAUAUUGUCUAUAAAAUGCUUGACACAGCAGCAGGCACAGAAUAACCUAUCAAAGCAGAGCCACUAUUAUUGGUUAUUGUCAUCUAUUCUUUGUGCGCGUGUGCCGUGGAGAUAAUUACAAUCAUCUUCCGUACUGGGGUCGUAUUUUAUAAUUUCCAACCUACACCACAUAUAUUUUCUCCCUUAGUCCUCCAUCAGCCCUCUGAAGGAGAUUUUAUUGCUGUUACUAUUCCCACUCUAUGAAGGAGAAAACUGAGAAGAGAGAGAGAGAGAGAGACAUGGAGACAGGGAGAGGCAAGGGAAGAAAUCAGAAGCAAAUUGCUAAUUGGUUUCUACCUACUCAGAAGUGGGUCAGGGAAAGAGCACCACACCCUCAAAGAAUUCAGGCUGUGUGCGCCAACAUCCUCUUUCCAAUCUCAGGAAAAAUAAGCAAAAAAAAGCACACCCAAAAAGAGGGAAAACAGACACUGGGAUCAGAAGCUGUGGACACACAUACCAGUUAUGCCUCUUACACACUGAUGAUGUCCUCAACUGCAAAAGAGCGAUAAAAUUAAUACCUACAAGAUGGUGGCCCUGUAGGAGAGCAGAAUUUGCCACCCUAAAAUAUGUCUCUUUGACUUGAUUAUUUUUGAGAACAAAAGACUCAGGUGGAAACUUUGACCUUCCCCCUAACUGCCUAAAAGAUUUUAAGACAGAAGGUCUGUGCCAGGAAGCAGCUAGCACCAUAGAUAACCAUAACAUGAACUAGGUGUGUAGACAGAGAGGAACCUAGCAAGGCCCCUUUGAUCAAAGGCCUCUCUGUGUCCCAUGGUUUCUGCAAGGCAGGGCAAAGAUUUGUUUACCAAACAUUUGCUUUCCCAUCUCCAUGUGAAUUGCCUCCCUUCUCUUUGAAGUCCCAAGGCACUACUCCCA
ensembl:lncRNA